GUGUCAGAGAAGAAUAGUUUUUUUUUUGUUGGUUUUGCCCAGGCCCAGUUCUCUCCCCAUUCAGAAACUCAGAAACCCCUUUAGGGGUUUCCACAUCCUCACCUCAUUUCACUCAGUCGAAGAACACAAGGCCUAGAGCCUCUAUCUCACUCUGCCGAUAAACCUCCCCACCUCCGCCGGCAGUCGCGAGCCAUUUUAGCCUCCAAGACGGCCACCCUUUUCGCACCUCCCCACUGCUGGCUAAAGCCACACCAGCGACGUCGUCGACGAGGGAAGCGCCAACUCGAGGGAGCUUUCUCCUUUUCGCACGCUGCACCCACCUCAGCAACCAGGGCCAACCAUCGAAUCGUCAACCUACGUUGUCGUCGAGGUUUCGUCGUCUCAUAAUCGCCGGCGACCCCAACCUCUCGUGCCUCCUCUCCUUGAAGAAAACCCUAGGGUUCACAGUAAAGCAAAACGCAGUACCGUGAUCGAACACGAUACCAAACACGGCAGUUUAAUCGAUGCAUCGCACAGCAAUUCAGGGCUUCCGCGGAGCUGGUGCACGGUAAUAUAAAGAAAACGCAGACUGGAGCGGUUAAAGGGAUCAAACGACGACGGAAUUGGCUCAGAGAAGUGGAUUCAGAUCGAAGAGUGAGGCCAUGUAGCUGAGAGUGACAGAGAGAGAGGAAGGGUCUUAUUGUGAUAUGCUCUCUGAACGGUGGUGGCUCUGAAAAUUUUCUAUCUUUUCUUGGCUCUGCGCAGUGCAGGUUGAGGGUGAUGGCUCUAUGCUCGAGUCGGGAUGGAGGUUCCAGUGGGUAAAUGGAGUGGUUUAGGUGAAGAUAAAGAUACUGGUUCUGUUUUUUCUUCUUUUGCCUAAGACCGUAUACAGUUUCUGGAAGCAAUGAGGAUGAUGUUGAGGAUGAUGAUGUGGGUCAGACGCAGUGGUUGUUGAGCUAGAUGUUGGGGUAUAGGUGAGAAGGAGAAUGGCUGCCCAGGCCGAGAGAAGCAAGACGAAGGCUAUGGUGAUGGUCUCGUGAACAACUCGUGGAGAUUGGGUUCUCUUUCUUUCUUUGCAAAUGAGAAGAAUCAAUGUUUUGGGGGAACUUUGUAUGGAUGAAAAUUCUAUAAAAACUUAUUCUGAUUUGAGAAAUUGAAAGAGGAAACCAUGCUUUACUCUUUGGUUGUGAUCCUUUCUGGGUGCUGGCUUUGAAGCAGGGAAGUAGAAAAGCAUUUUUUUACCGUUUCUGGGCUAGGGGUGAAGAUGUAACAGAGAUAUCGGGUAGCCAAUGCAACGAAAGAGAUGAAAAAUACCAAUGCAAACAUAAUGAUCAAAUGAUGCUAUCAUGCGGCCAGGGCAACAGUUAUUGAUUCACCGAUAGACUAGAUAAACUGGUAUAGAACACUUACCUUGAGGGAUUGAGCUUCUUGUUUCUGCUUUUCUCCCUACGAUUGCGGAUUAGAGGGCUUUCUAUUCUCCUCAGGAAAAUAGUAGCUGCUGCAAAGGAUGGAUGAUGAAGAUGAUGGCCCAGAUAGGUUCUUCUCUCCCCUUUGCUCAAGCUGUCAAUGAUGCUUCAAAACCCUCCCAAUGCUUUCUCCCCAAUGACGAUUCCCAAUCCUCCUUUUCUUCCUUCUUGCUCCCGUACCAUAUUUUUUUAGAGCGUAACCGUUUUCGCAUCAAUGAGGGGAAACUCACAUAAUCGCAAGUGAUGUGCACCAUAGGAUCAAAAAGAUAUCACGACUAUGCUUUCGAGACUCUGUAACUACCUCAAAGGCGUGAAAAGUUAAAGGAAUGUUUGGGAAAUGAAACGUCUAAACGGUGCGCAACAAGGAACUCCCACGAUGAACAUCAAUGUGAAGGUUGAUAGUUAACUUGACCAUAUAAACGGAACGGUUAACUCCGAGGGACAUUAUGUAUAGUAUUAUGUAUAGUAUGAUAUCUACACUCUGCGGUUAGCACACUCAA